AUACGUAGGGGGCGAGCGUUGUCCGGAAUUACUGGGCGUAAAGGGUGCGUAGGUGGCACUUUAAGUUGGAUGUGAAAUCCCCGUGCUUAACAUGGGAGCUGCAUCCAAUACUGGAGAGCUAGAGUGCAGGAGAGGUAAGCGGAAUUCCUAGUGUAGCGGUGAAAUGCGUAGAUAUUAGGAGGAACACCAGUGGCGAAGGCGGCCUGCUGGACGACAACUGACGCUGAAGCGCGAAAGCGUGGGGAGCAAACAGGAUUAGAUACCCUGGUAGUCCACGCUGUAAACGAUGAAUACUAGGUGUGGGGGGACUGACCCCCUCCGUGCCGCAGUUAACACAAUAAGUAUUCCGCCUGGGGAGUACGAUCGCAAGAUUGAAACUCAAAUGAAUUGACGGGG
rnacentral:rRNA from 1 species